CGAGGAGGGGGUUCUCCCCCGCUCGGAGCGCGCGGCUGGGGAAGAAGCUGGCGGGAAGCCGGGCCGCGCGCCGAGGAAUCGAUGAUUCGGCCUGUGGGCCGGGUCACUGCGGCGGGGCCCGGGGAGCGCCGAUAGCAUGGAUAGGCUCAGAGGGGCGCAGGGUUUUGGCGGCUUCCCGAGUUCCCCUCGCCGACCGCCAUGUCACAUCUUACGGAAGAGGCGGGGGCUGCCGCGGAGAGGAUAUUUUUUGUUUUGUUUUGUUUUCACAAGAAUCACCUGGAUGCUUCUAAAGAGGAUGUCUACCAGACCCCAUGCCGCACUAAUUAGCUCAGAAGUGGGAACCCUUCGCUAGCUCCAUGUUUUGUUCACGUGACUCUCAACCUGGUGUGGCCUGGACUCUAGUCCCUGCCUCAAGGAAAGUCCAGACUGACAUAGAAAAUCCCUGCUCACCAGCCUUGACCUUGGGAGAAAGCCCCUGACCUGUGAGUGGACAGAAGGCCUGGUGGUCAGCCCGUGGGAGCCCUGGAGCGUGCACUGCUGGAGCAGCUCAGAAAAAGCUGAGAAGCCAAGACUUGACUGUCAGUCCUGGAGAAUUAGAACAUGCCUGCUAAAUUUCAGUCCACUCUGAGGAAGGGGCAGUGCCCACAAGGAAACCUAGUGGGUGGGGUUCUGGCUGGGACUCAUCUGGAGUUCCCAGGGCAGAUGCCCGGCCCCAGCUUAUAGACCAUGAUGCGGCUGGGCUUCCGUGUCUGAUUCUUAAGUGCCUCAGGUAAACAGACUCUCCUUUGCUUUGCCAGGAGGAAUGACAUUACUAUCAGCAUUGUAAAAGUCUGUGGCCUUUGGGAGAGUAAUUUUACUUCUAAGACUCUCCUCUACAGAGAAGUGUGCACACUGUUCCCAGUGGAGUCUAUAAAGAUAGCAAAGAGCAAAGACUUAAAACAGAAUGGCUCUGGGUUUGAAGUGUUGUGUAUCUAGACAAUGAACAGCCCACCUUUAAACAAGCCCCACAUGGACUGAAGCGGAGGCAGCUCCAAAUGUAUUAGGUGACAGUGCCACAUGGCUCUGUGUGAUGGUAAGAUUAUAUGUGUACAUGUCAUCUCGAAAGGAGAAUUCGGCUUAUCUCUGGGGAGAGAGUCUGCAUCUUUUCUCAUUUGUACCGAGUAUGGAGUGUGUAUCUAUCUCUCUGUCAGAAAUGUCAAGGGAAGGGUUCACCAUUGACCUGAUGCUCACGAAGGUUAGGAACCAAUGCCAACCACAAUGCCCACCUCUACCUUCAGGAGACAGUAAACGCCUUAGAAUACAAAACCCAUAAACAACCAAGACUGUGGUGCCUGCUGGGGCUGGGCCUGAGCUGCACACAGAGGCUAGGUACCGAACAGCUGCCAUGGUAAACUGGCACAGUUAGGCACGCGGCCGGGUUCACACGCCCUCUGCCCUGACUUUAAAGACAGCAGUCUUGGCCCAGCUUCCCUCACCCCCUAUGUAUGAGCAGAGAGCUAUACUUGCUGGGUUUCCAGCUCUUGUAUUUGGACUCCUCUUCUCUUUUCUCUUUUUUGAGAGAGGGUCUCACUGUGUAUUCGUGGCUGCUCUGGAACUUCCUGGACCAGGCUGGCCUUGAUGUAGAUCUCUGCCUUCUAAAAAAUAAAAAUAUGUUUUAUGUGUAU